rnacentral:rRNA from 1 species
ACGUAGGGGGCAAGCGUUGCUCGGAAUUACUGGGCGUAAAGGGUGUGUAGGCGGCUGAUUAAGUCAAGGAUGAAAUCCCGAGGCUCAACUUCGGAACGGUCCUUGAUACUGGUCAGCUUGAGGCUAGUAAAGGAGAGCGGAAUUCCCGGUGGAGCGGUGAAAUGCGUAGAUAUCGGGAAGAACACCAAAGGCGUAGGCGAUUCUCUAGGCUAUUCCUGACGCUGAGACGCGAAAGCUAGGGGAGCAAACGG